ensembl:lncRNA
CUUAAAUAUGAUGAAGUAAAAAACACAGCAAAAUCACAAAUAACAGCAAACAUGCAUGCAAGCUUUGACUCCACAGUCCACAGUAGAACAGAGAAGAAAUGUCCAGCUUUACUUAGCUUCAGCUUAUUAUAACUAAGUGGGCUCUGUUCUGAUUUUGAUCUGUGCUCCAUUCCCGUGAAUCCAGGCCUUGUUUUGAAGUUUGAGAGCGUGAUCCCGGCAAUACAAGCAAGCCUGGAGGUGGUUAGGACAUGAAAGUGAGGUAAGAAAGACAAGAGAUUCAUUCAUGGGAAGGUGAUUCAAGGCACCGACAUCUCUGUAUCUCUGCACAGCUACAGAUGAUCAUUAUUACUCACACACACUGCUCACACGCAACCUGGAAUGAAACUAACAGUUAACUCCACUUACCGUCAUGCAUUGCGCAUCUACGUUUGGUGAAAGCAGCAUGUGCUGAGGCGCUCCGCACAAACUAUGGCUCAGUGAAGCUGCGGCUCUUGACGAGAGCGCGUCGUGUCAGCAGAGACUCUGGCUGCAGCUGCCGCAGAUACCAUCAUUGCGCUGGACCCUAAGGAGGAAUCAGCAUCUUCGAAAAUAAUCGUUCUGAUUGCUUUGCUGGAUUUGCCUGGGCGUAAAUCGUUUAAUGCUGGGGCUCUUUGGACGCAUUAACGGGAUUAAUCGCGACAUUGACAAACGUGGAGAAGUUAUUAUUGUUUUGUGUUUUUGUUUAAACGUGAUCACGAUGAUAGCAGCUGAUGGAUUGAAAACUCCAGCUAUGGAUCUUUUCGCGUGUUAUAAGGAAAUGCUGACUUCAGUCUGGGAUGAGUUUCUACUCCUGCCACAGAUUCAGCUGCUGGACAAGUCUCUUGGGAUAUUUGGGAUACACGCGUGGUCAAGUGCUGACAUUUUCAUAGAUGGUUAAUGUUAUAUGCUGAUUUCGGAAAUGAAAUCUGUAUUUGGUGGAUUUCUUUUUUUUUUUUUUUGCACAGUUGGAUAUCUUGGAUUAUGUUUUGGAAGCUGUGCUCCAGUGGAUGUCCAGUGAUUUGGAUAAUAUGUGCGCAUCUCCUGAUUCCGCAGUGAAGGAAUCCAAAUUCUCGAGAUGAGAGUUCGACCUUUAAUUGCAUGCUAGCGAUCUUCUGAUGAUCACCAAGAAGGGGCUGAGUAAUGGAAACAUGACCUCAAGAGAUUCAACAGGGUGAGGCAUGUGAGAGAAACGUGGGAAGGGAAAAUCCAGAAUGGAGGCCAGAAGAGAUGCACAAAGUCAGGAUCAUACUAAAUCCUGGUUUGGACUGUUGGACCAGCAUCCUCUGAAGCAGAUGUUUGCUCCUGGCAAGGCUGCCGACAACAUGAGCUCCAACACUGGCAAUCUAGCUCCCAGGAUUCAGUGAGCAGCGUGAGCUUGGAGAAGCUAUGACAUAAACGCAGCAGGACGGUGAAUCGCGUUUUGCUGCUCAGACAUCAUGGAACAGAUCAGUCAGCCCCAUCUGGAGAAAUGCUCUAUAGAAGAGUCAUAUAUUUACCAUAGUUACUUUGAUGGAUACAGCAUGUUGUUUGACUUUAUUUUUCUAAUUGAUUUUAUGAUGAUAAUUUCCCGGCAUCUAUGUAUCUUCUCUUGUUUUGCAGAUUUUAUUUACAGUGUCGCUCAUUCAGUAACUUCAGCAUUUAAUGUGUAAUUUUUGUCAUUUUUGGUAAUGUGACUGUUUUCAAAGUGGCUCUUCUAAAACUGCAUAAGAACGUUUAUCCAGGGAGGAGCACAAAAGAUGUCUCCUACUGUGUAUAAAGACUUAAUGCACAUGUGAUUGAGAUUAAUCAGACGAAUCACUCAAUCAGUGGAUAUGUGAUUUUCAUCUUCGACAAAGAAGCCAUUGUCAUUAAUGUAAAACCAUGAAUUCUCCUUCUUACGCUGCAUUUUAUUGUGACACAUUGGCAGCUUCUGCUAAUUUCAGUUAAUAAUCCUGUCAAGCAGUUUAUUCUCAUUAUGAUUUAUGACUCCAUAGCUUUUGUUGUUUUUGUUAAGCCCUGUUAGCAGAAAUUAAAAGGUGUAUCCAAGCUGCUGUUUGUUUGUGUUGUCAUUCCAGAUACAUGAGAUAAAUGGUUGGAUGUUUCAGUGGUGUUCAUUGUUACGGUUAUUCAUGCUGGCUUCCUUACUAGUUAGGCCAGUAUGUGCUAGUCUAGCAUUUGAGGAAUAAAUGGGGUGUUAUCUUUUUUUUUUUUCUUCAAAGGAAGACAAGGUAAAGGUGAACUUUACAGUAAAAAUGUAAUAUGUUACAUUUAAACUGAAACAGUGAUUUUUAAUAGUUUUACUGGCAAUCGCAACAUACUGAAUGUAUAUUUUUGGUUGAUGUUACAAUGUAAUGUGUAAAUGCAUCACUUACUAUAAUCACAAAAAAUUGUAGAAGUAACAGUAAAAAGAUGACAUCAUUUUGCUGAGUUUACACUCUACAAACGUGUCACGUAUGAUGUUGAUGGAGAAGUGCUUAAUGUCACAUAAUAGGUCAACGUGUGUCAAAAUGCAGGGAGUUUCCAACCAUACUGUGGAAGAAAUCCCCACAGAUCCCUCGUCUUGUCCCAAAAAUAUUCAACAUACGUCGCUAAUGCAUGCAUUGUUUUCAUUUAGUCUGAGUGACUUCAGCAUUUCAGCAGUGACUUCCCAUUCAGCUGUCUUUCGCUGUCAUUUCAGUUACGAUUCAAUAAAGUCUGCGUCAGGGUGGGUAGGUGAAGGAGUGUAUAGUUGCUAAGGGUGUAAUUAUUCCUCAAGGGGUUACUUAUUGUUGUCCUUGCCUCAGUGAUAAAACAAAGCUGAC